rnacentral:rRNA from 1 species
CCUACGUGUGGCAGCAGUGGGGAAUAUUGCGCAAUGGGCGAAAGCCUGACGCAGCGACGCCGCGUGAGGGAUGAAGGUCUUCGGAUCGUAAACCUCUGUCAGCAGGGAAGAACGGUCACUGUGCUAAUCAGCAGUGAAUUGACGGUACCUGCAAAGGAAGCACCGGCUAACUCCGUGCCAGCAGCCGCGGUAAUACGGAGGGUGCGAGCGUUAAGCGGAAUUACUGGGCGGAAAGCGCUCGUAGGCGGUAUGUCAAGUCAAGGGUGAAAUCCCCGCGCUCAACGUGGGAACUGCCUUUGAAACGGGCAAACUGGAGUGUGUGAGAGGAUAGUGGAAUUCCAGGUGUAGGAGUGAAAUCCGUAGAUAUCUGGAGGAACAUCAGUGGCGAAGGCGACUAUCUGGCACAUAACUGACGCUGAGGAGCGAAAGCGUGGGUAGCAAACAGGAUUAGAUACCCCAGUAGUC